rnacentral:rRNA from 1 species
UACAGGGGGUGCAAACGUUGCUCGGAAUCAUUGGGCGUAAAGCGCACGUAGGCGGUUCGUUAUGUCGGAUGUGAAAGCCCUUGGCUUAACCGAGGAAGUGCAUCCGAAACUGGCGAGCUAGAGUACGAAAGAGGAUCGCGGAAUUCCCGGUGUAGAGGUGAAAUUCGUAGAUAUCGGGAGGAACACCAGUGGCGAAGGCGACUAACUGGACAAGUACUGACGCUGAGGUACGAAAGCGUGGGGAGCAAACAGG